ACGGGGAGGUAGUGACGAAAAAUAUCGAUACGGGACUCAUCCGAGGCCCCGUAAUCGGAAUGAGUACACUUUAAAUCCUUUAACGAGUACCAAUUGGAGGGCAAGUCUGGUGCCAGCAACCGCGGUAAUUCCAGCUCCAAUAGCGUAUAUUAAAGUUGUUGCGGUUAAAAAGCUCGUAGUUGGAUCUGUGUCUAACGGCGUCGGUUCACCGCUCGCGGUGUAACUGGCGCGCCGGUUGGACGUCCUGCCGGUGGCGGUCCGGGCUUUCGAGUAUGUGUAGGUCCUCCGAAGCAUCUCGAUAGUUCCGGCCGCCGAUUCAAUCCCGCCGCGGUGCUCUUGACUGAGUGUCGAGGUGGGCCGGCACGUUUACUUUGAACAAAUUAGAGUGCUUAAAGCAGGCUGAUUUACGCCUGAAUACUGUGUGCAUGGAAUAAUGGAAUAGGACUUCGGUUCUAUUUUGUUGGUUUUAAGAAUCCGAAGUAAUGAUUAAUAGGGACAGGCGGGGGCAUUCGUAUUGCGACGUUAGAGGUGAAAUUCUUGGAUCGUCGCAAGACGUACCUAAGCGAAAGCAUUUGCCAAGUAUGUCCUCGUUAAUCAAGAACGAAAGUUAGAGGUUCGAAGGCGAUCAGAUACCGCCCUAGUUCUAACCAUAAACGAUGCCAGCCAGCGAUCCGCCAAAGUUCCUCCGAUGACUUGGCGGGCAGCUUCCGGGAAACCAAAGCUUUUGGGUUCCGGGGGAAGUAUGGUUGCAAAGCUGAAACUUAAAGGAAUUGACGGAAGGGCACCACCAGGAGUGGAGCCUGCGGCUUAAUUUGACUCAACACGGGAAACCUCACCAGGCCCGGACACUGGAAGGAUUGACAGAUUGAUAGCUCUUUCUUGAUUCAGUGGGUGGUGGUGCAUGGCCGUUCUUAGUUGGUGGAGCGAUUUGUCUGGUUAAUUCCGAUAACGAACGAGACUCUAGCCUAUUAACUAGGCGUUCCCGGUAUCCACAAUAGUGCUACCGGCGAAUAAAUUUCUUCUUAAAGGGACAGGCGGCUUCUAGCCGCACGAGACUGAGCAAUAACAGGUCUGUGAUGCCCUUAGAUGUCCUGGGCCGCACGCGCGCUACACUGAAGGAAUCAGCGUGUCUCCCCUGGCCGAAAGGUCCGGGUAACCCGUUGAACCUCCUUCGUGCUAGGGAUUGGGGCUUGCAAUUGUUCCCCAUGAACGAGGAAUUCCCAGUAAGCGCGAGUCAUAAGCUCGCGUUGAUUACGUCCCUGCCCUUUGUACACACCGCCCGUCGCUACUACCGAUUGAAUGAUUUAGUGAGGUCUUCGGACUGGUGCGCGGUGGCCGCCUCGUGUGGUCACCGAUGUUGCCGGGAAGAUGACCAAACUUGAUCAUUUAGAGGAAGUAAAAGUCGUAAC
rnacentral:rRNA from 1 species